rnacentral:lncRNA from 1 species
AGGAAGAAGUCGAAGGUUUCGGACAAGCAUUCGUGGUCUCCGAGGAACAGAAGCUCGAUUGGGCCGACCUAUUCUUCCUCGUCACGCAGCCUCCUCACGAGAGAAAGCCUCACUUGUUUCCAAAGCUUCCCCUGCCUCUAAGAGAGACCUUGGAGGUAUACUCUAUGGAGCUUAAAAACACAGCAAUGGAGAUCUUGGUUCAAAUGGCCAAAGCACUAAAAAUGGACGAAAAUGAGAUGACACAAGUGUUUGAAAAUGGACAUCAAUCAAUGAGGAUGAACUAUUACCCACCGUGCCCGCAACCGAAUAAGGUCAUUGGGCUCACUCCGCAUUCUGACGCCACGGGCUUAACCAUCCUUCUCCAGCUCAACCAAGUCCAAGGCCUCCAGAUCAAGAAACAUGGCAACUGGGUUACUGUGAAACCCCUCCCUAAUGCCUUCAUCAUCAACAUUGGAGAUAUCAUGGAGGUCAAGAUUAAUUUCCUAUUGUUCACUCCAAGCGACUGGAGUUGCUGUAUGUCUUAAUUAUAUUGUAUUUUGUGGGCGCAGAUUGUAACAAAUGGGGCGUAUAGAAGCAUUGAGCAUCGGGCCACGGUGAACUCGGAGAAAGAAAGGCUUUCGAUUGCGACGUUCUAUGCGCCGAGCUACGAGAAAGAGAUAGGACCCG